rnacentral:rRNA from 1 species
AUGGCAGCAGAGGCAAUCUUAGGAGCCUUCAUGCAAACCCUGUUCCAGAAAUUAUCCGAAGCACUUCUCGACCACUUCAAGUCUUGCAGGGGCAUCCAUGGCAAGCUGGAGAGCCUCUCCCAGAUUCUCUCUCAGCUACAUGCCUUCCUCGACGAUGCCGAGGUGAAGCAGCUGGCAGACGCGUCCGUGCGGGGCUGGCUAGCGAAGCUCAAGGACGUCGCAUACGACCUAGAUGAUCUUCUCGACAGGUAUACAGCCAAGAUUAUGUAUCUGAAGAAGAGGAAGGUGAAACUCUCCACCAAGGCAAGUGUCGGUUCCCCUUCUUCCUUCUUGCGUAGGAAUCUGUACCAGUACAGGAUAAAGCGUAAGAUUAGCGGGAUAUUGGAGAGGUUGGAUAAAAUCGCAAGAGAACGUGACACGAUUGGCCUCCAGAUGUUGGGUGAAAUGAGCAGGCGUGAGACGUCAGAGAGACCACAGUCUAGUUCUCUUGUGGAUAGUUCAGCUCUGUUUGGCAGGGAGGGAGACAGAGAGGAAAUGGUGAGGCUCAUGCUAUCUGAUGAUGGACACAGUUUGAGCAGUCUUUGUGUAGUUCCAGUUGUUGGUAUGGGGGGACUUGGUAAGACCACUCUUAUGCAGAUGGUGUACAAUGAUGACAGAGUGAAAGAACACUUUGAGUUGAGGAUCUGGAUCUAUGUGUCUGAAUGUUUUGAUGGGAGAAAGCUAACACAAGAAACUCUUGAGGCUGCUGCCUAUGACCAAUCCUUUCCUAGCACCAACAUGAAUAUGAUGCAGGAAACACUCUCCAGAGUAUUGCGGGGCAAGAGGUACUUGCUUGUCUUGGACGAUGUCUGGAAUGAAGACUAUGAUAAAUGGCUCAGCUACAGAGCAGCCUUAAUUUCAGGAGGGCUUGGAAGCAAGAUAGUGGUAACAUCCCGCAAUGAGAAUGUCGGCAGAAUCAUGGGAGGGGUAGAGCCCUACAAGUUACAGCAGCUAUCGGACGAUGACACCUGGUCCGUAUUCAAGAGCCAUGCAUUCAGGGAUGGUGAUUGCAGCACACACCCACAGCUGGAGGUGAUAGGAAGGCAAAUUGUGAAGAAGCUGAAGGGAUUGCCUCUCGCAUCAAAAGCAUUAGGGAGCCUUCUCUUCUGCAAAGCAGAUGAAGAGGAGUGGAAGGGGAUACUAAGAAGUGAUAUAUGGGAGCUACCAGCAGACAAAAAUAACAUAUUGCCAGCUCUGCGGCUAAGCUACAACCAUUUGCCACCACAUCUCAAACAGUGCUUUGCAUUCUGUUCCGUGUAUCCAAAAGAUUAUGUAUUCAGUAAAGAGAAGUUGGUUAAGAUUUGGCUAGCACUUGGUUUCAUCAGGCAAUCUAGAAAGAAGAUACUUGAGGAUUCUGGUUAUGCAUAUUUUAAUGAGCUGGUAAGCAGGUCUUUUUUCCAGCCCUACAAGGAGAACUAUGUGAUGCAUGAUGCAAUGCAUGACCUUGCUAUAUCAGUUUCCAUGGAACACUGUGAGCGAUUUGAGGACGGGACAAGAUACGACAAUGCCAUAAAGACUCGUCAUCUUUCAUUUCCAUGCACCGGUGCCGGGACCAAGCAUUUUGAUCCACUGUAUGGGUUUAGGAAGUUAAGAACACUAAUUCUCAUGCAUGGAUACAAUUCUAAGAUGUCUCAGUUCCCUGAUGGUGUCUUUAUAAAACUUCAAUUCCUUAGAGUUCUUGAUAUGCAUGGAAGAGGUCUUAAGGAAUUACCAGAGUCUAUAGGGAAUCUGAAACAACUUCGCUUCCUAGAUCUCAGCAGCACUGAAAUAAAAACAUUACCAGCAUCUAUUGUCAAGCUCUAUAACUUGCAAAUAUUGAAGCUGAACAACUGCAGCUCACUAAGGGAAGUGCCACAUGGCAUCACUAAGCUCACUAAUCUGCGCCACUUAGAGGGAAGCACAAGGCUACUGUUAAGGAUACCAGGAAUUGGAAAUUUGAUCUGCCUACAGGAAUUAGAAGAAUUUGUUGUCUUGAAACGCCCCGGGCACAACAUCACAGAGUUAAGAAACAUGGAUCAGCUGCAAGGAAAACUUACCAUUCGUGGCCUCAACAAUGUGGCUGAUGAAAAAGAUGCAAUUUGUGCGAAGUUGAAAACCAAAGAAUAUCUUCGAGCUCUACACUUUAUAUGGGAUGAGGACUGUAAACUUACUCCUUCAGAUCAGCAAGACGAAGUUCUGGAAGGCCUUCAACCACAUAUCGAUAUCAAGGAAUUGAUGAUUAAAGGUUUUCCAGGGGCGAGGUUCCCGAGCUGGCUCGCUACUUCAUUUCUUCCUAAUCUGCAAACCACCCAUAUAUGCAACUGCAGAUGCACAGUUCUCCCGCCAUUAGGCCAACUUCCUUUCCUCAAAAAUCUCAAUAUAGCCGGAGCAACUGAUGUGACACAAAUUGGACACGAGUUCACAGGACUUGGACAAAUAAAAUGUUUUCCAGCAUUAGAAGAGCUUCUGUUGGAAGAUAUGCCGAAGCUGGGAGAGUGGAUUUUUGAUGAUGCUGAUCAGUUGUUCCCUCAAUUAACUGAACUUGGUCUCAUCAAUUGCCCCAAGCUGAAGAAGUUACCCCCAGUUCCACCAACACUUACAACACUGAGGAUAGAUGAAGCUGGACUUGAGUCACUUCCAGAUCUUCAAAAAGAAGCUUGUCCGUCUUCUCUAACAUUUCUAUACAUCAAUGGUUGCCCGAAUCUAACAUCUCUGCGUGUAGGCUUGCUUUCACAGAAUCUGACAGCCCUCAAGAGUCUAACAGUAGCCCACUGUGAAGAGCUUGUUUCGCUACCAGAAGAGUGUUUCCGUCCACUUACAUCACUUCAGUUCCUGCACAUCUACGAGUGCCCUUGCCUGGUACCUUGGACAGCCCUGGAGCGAGGCUUGCUUCCUGCUUCAGUUGAAGAAAUCCGUCUAACAUCAUGCUCUCUGUUAGCACACGUACUUCUAAAUGGCCUACAAUACUGUCCUCGUCUCAAGCAUUUUCAAAUUUCUGACUACCAAAUUGCUGACUACCCUGACAUCAGUAACUUCCCACUGGAGCUUUUACCUCACACACUUCAGUUCUUAGACAUAUCACGCUGUGAUGACCUCCAGUGUUUGCCUCCAAGUCUGCAUAAAGUCUCCUCACUUGAAACACUACAUAUCUCCAACUGUCGUGAGCUUGAAAGCUUGCCAGAAGAAGGUCUGCCCAGGGGGCUCAAGGAGCUUUACAUCAAUCAAUGCCCAAAAAUUAAGCAACGAUGCCAAGAAGGUGGACAGGACCGAGUCAAGAUAGCUCACAUCAGAGACAUCGAGAUUGAUGGGGAUGUUAUUGUGCUUGAGCAGAUAUAG